GUGCCAGCCGCCGCGGUAAUACGUAGGGGGCAAGCGUUGUCCGGAAUCAUUGGGCGUAAAGCGCGCGUAGGCGGCCCGGUAAGUCCGCUCUGAAAGUCCAAGGCUCAACCUUGGAAUGCGGGUGGAUACUGCCGGGCUAGAGUCCGGAAGAGGCGAGUGGAAUUCCUGGUGUAGCGGUGGAAUGCGCAGAUAUCAGGAGGAACACCAAUAGCGAAGGCAGCUCGCUGGGACGGUACUGACGCUAAGGCGCGAAAGCGUGGGGAGCGAACAGGAUUAGAAACCCCCGUAGUCC
rnacentral:rRNA from 1 species